rnacentral:tRNA from 1 species
GGUCGGGUGGUGUAGUUGGUUAUCACAUCUCGUUAACAAUUGUUAACAAUUAUUAAUCCGAGAAGGUCCUGGGAUCGAGCCCCAGCCUGAUCA